rnacentral:rRNA from 1 species
AGCGAACGCUGGCGGCAGGCUUAACACAUGCAAGUCGAACGCCCCGCAAGGGGAGUGGCAGACGGGUGAGUAACACGUGGGAACGUACCCUUUGGUUCGGAAUAACUUGGGGAAACUCAAGCUAAUACCGGAUAAGCCCUUAUGGGGAAAGGUUUACUGCCGAAGGAUCGGCCCGCGUCUGAUUAGCUAGUUGGUGAGGUAAUGGCUCACCAAGGCGACGAUCAGUAGCUGGUCUGAGAGGAUGAUCAGCCACACUGGGACUGCGACACGGCCCAGACUCCUACGUGUGGCAGCAGUGGGGAAUAUUGGACAAUGGGGGCAACCCUGAUCCGGCCAUGCGCCGUGAGUGAUGAAGACCGUAGGGUUCUAAAGCUCUUUUACCCGGCAGGAUAAUGACUGUGCCGGGACAAUAAGCCCCGGCUAACUUCGUGCCAGCCGCAGCCCUAA